ACUUUGCAAAACAAGUACGGGAAUACAAGCACAAUCCUCAGCUGCAUAUGUUAUGUUGGCACAGCUUCUAAUCCAGAAGGUAUAGACUGGCUGUAAAUUUCAAAAUGGAGCAGUAACUUCUGAAGCACAUUUACUAUAGCACACUCUUUAUCAAAAUCUUUAAUGUGCAGCUCUGUGCGUUUCCUAAUAUCUUUCUUGGUUGAUUUAUGGGUGUGACUGGGUGAAACAUUGCCUGAUGGCCUGGCUGACCACUGCACAGUUGAAGACUGGUUGACUUGCCAUUGGAUACACAAAAAAUCUUUCCAAGCAUUGUGCCACUGGGUUAUGCAUUACAUUUGUGCCAACAGAUUCAUAAGACUGUGAAAUAGCUUUUUACCAAAGACAAACCUGCUAGGAAGGACAGAGCAACAGAGUGUUUAUGGGCCAGACGUAGGACACCUGAUUCUUCUGUGCCAACCCAAGAGAUUGUCUUCUUUGAGCUAUUUUGUCUAGAGACUCAUUGCUAUAUUUUGAUGCCAACGUAACACCACCUGUUGCAAGGAGUCCAAGACUAUUGUCUUCAGCAAUUUUUGGAAUUAUAUGAAGUGGACAAUGACAGAUCUCAGAAAGGAUCUUCUUGCUUUCAGGUGGUGGCAUAGCUCUUAGAUUGAUUUCUACCUGCUUCCUGCUAUUCAUAAUUUUUCUGUCUUUUUGCCCAAGUCAUUUCUUUUCCAGACCACGAAGCCUCAGCCUCUUAUUCUUUGUAUAACUGCAAAAAUUACUUUUACUAAUAGUAAAUAUUUAAUCUCAUUGGAAAUGUCUGUAAGUGGUUGCCUACAAGAGGAAUAUAUAGCAGUUCCAGUUAGUUUUGCCCAUGUAAUGUGACAAAGUAUUUCUAAGUACUGAUUUUAAUGUUUAUAUCUGUCAUCAUCACUGAAGGAUUGUUUAUUUCUGUAUUGUUGCCCGUAAUGUGUAUGACUAUGUUUAUACAGGUAACAGUUAAAAAAUAAUAGAUAUAUACAAUAUUCCAACUCAGGAAAUAAUUAUAAUUGGAUCUUUCCUCGAAAAGAGUCUGAUUUUGGCACCAAUAAUUAUUUGGAAGAAAGCAUUUACAUUACAAUAAACUAUUCUUGUUUGUUCC
ensembl:lncRNA